GGAGUUAGCCGGUGCUUCUUCUGUGAGUGAUGUCCUUCCUGCCGGUUAUUGACCCGCAGGCCUUCUUCCUCACUGAAAGUGCUUUACAACCCGAAGGCCUUCUUCACACACGCGGCAUGGCUGGAUCAGGGUUGCCCCCAUUGUCCAAUAUUCCCCACUGCUGCCUCCCGUAGGAGUCUGGGCCGUGUCUCAGUCCCAGUGUGGCUGAUCAUCCUCUCAGACCAGCUACGGAUCGUCGCCUUGGUGAGCCGUUACCUCACCAACCAGCUAAUCCGACAUAGGCUCAUCCGAUAGCGCGAGGCCCGAAGGUCCCCCGCUUUCCCCCGUAGGGCGUAUGCGGUAUUAGCCUGGGUUUCCCCAGGUUAUCCCCCACUACCGGGCAGAUUCCUAUGCAUUACUCACCCGUCCGCCGCUCGCCACCAGGGAGCAAGCUCCCCGUGCUGCCGCUCGACUUGCAUGUGUAGCGUCGCCGCCACGCGUCAUCUGAGCCACUGAUACAACUACUCGA
rnacentral:rRNA from 1 species